UGGAGGUGGGCAAGCACAAAACGCAUUUCCUUCAUGUGUUUGCUACAUGAUAAUUCAGUUAACGAAAAUCUGCAAAAUAGAGAAUUCUGAGUGCAAAUGAUUUCCUGAUGUCUAAGGCUAAAAUGGUUGAUGUGUAGAAUCUUGCAUUUGUAAUUUAAGUGUGGGUAGACAUAAAAAAUAUACUGCAGGAAGCUGCUGACACGUGACAUGAUUUAGUUAUUCUGCGGAUCUAUAAAAAUUGCCGGUCCUGGCAGCAGCAGGCUUGGUGUGCUGAGUUAGGAUUGACAGAUGAGGAGGUCGACAGAUGAGGAGAUCAAUAGGUCAACCUGGACACCGGAGUGAUGCUCACAGUAAAGUAGUUCUUUGAUCUACUCUCUUCGGUUUGAGAAGAGGUACCUUGGGACUGUGCGUGAGGAAGACACACUGAAUAUCCUGCUGGAGUUUGUUCCUGGUGGGUCUAUCCAAUCGCUUCUUGGAGAACUCAGUUCAUUCCUAGAGGCAGUGAUUAGGAAGUAUAUCAGUCAUAUUUUGCAAAGGUUGGAAUAUCUGCAUAACAAUGCAAUGAUACAUAGACAUUAAGGUAAAAACUCUGAAGCCUCAACAUAUACUAGAAUCUUUGUAUCACUGAUUGUUUGGUUGUGCUAAUCAUCUUCAUGAUCAUGGGAUUGUUUUUAAUUCGGCGUGCAAACAUUCUUGUUGAUAGCAAAGGCUGCAUUAAGCUUGCCGAUUUUGGGGCAUCUAAGCAAGUUGCCAAGUUGGGGACUAGGGGAUGGGGCUGCUCGAGCUCAUCUCCAAGAGCCCCUCACCGACGCGCCGCCUCUUGCCGGAGAUGCCCGUGCGUGUCAAUGGGAGCGGACGUGCAGGAGAGAUCCCGCCGAUCCGAUGGCGCAAGGGCGAGAUGAUCGGCUCCGGUACGUUGUCUACCUCGGGAUAAAUUUGGACACCGGCGAGCUCCUCGCAGUAAAGUAGAUGCUGGGAUUUUGCGAUUUGGUUUUCUGAUUUGUACUGUCUGGAGACUUACAUUCAUUACACCAUGUCUCUCCUUUGUUUGAUUUUGGUUCUAGCUAGGGAGCAACAAUAAUAGGACUGUGUUCAACGUGCCUUAUGGAAUUGAUAAUGUUGAAAAGAGCAAGCUUGAGUCAACCAUCA